GGGCUCUUAGCUCAGUUGGUAGAGCAGCGGACUCUUAAUCCGUAGGUCGAGUGUUCGAGUCACUCAGGGCCCACCA
rnacentral:tRNA from 149 species